ensembl:snRNA U6 U6 spliceosomal RNA
UCGCUUCAGUAGCACACAUACUUAAACUGGGACGAUACAGAGAAGAUUAACGUGACCUCUGCUCAAAGGUCACAUGCAAGUUUGUGAAUCAUUUCAUAUUUAA